UUAAAAGAGCAUUAAUGCAACUUAAUUUCGGCUUAAGAAGAGGUAUUUAACCCUUUUAAA
rnacentral:tRNA from 1 species